CACGUAGGGUGCGAGCGUUGUCCGGAAUUAUUGGGCGUAAAGAGCUCGUAGGCGGUGUGUCGCGUCGGCCGUGAAAACCUGCAGCUUAACUGUGGGCUUGCGGUCGAUACGGGCAUCACUGGAGUUCGGCAGGGGAGACUGGAAUUCCUGGUGUAGCGGUGAAAUGCGCAGAUAUCAGGAGGAACACCGGUGGGGAAGGCGGGUCUCUGGGCCGAUACUGACGCUGAGGAGCGAAAGCGUGGGGAGCGAACAGG
rnacentral:rRNA from 1 species